AACCCUGCCUGUGUUGACCCUCAUCUACCCUUGACCUCGUUACACUCAGAAGGAGUAAGGAGAAAAAGCAAACUUGCAAUAUGAAGGAAGAAAGAGGAGGAGGAAGGAAGAACCAUGACACUUCUUGGCCAGUCUUGAAUCCAAUGAGAGAAAUGUGCACAGGUAAGGUAGAUGGGUGGCAAGGGGAUGCUAUCUCUGUACUUUCAAACUGGAGAAAUCUCUGGUGUUUGCCAAGAAGUACAGAAGUUCUCCUCAGAUGAGAAUUAGGGCCAGGGGCUGAAAACAUAGGAUCACUGGGGUUUCAAAGACACUAAAAAUAUCUUCUCUUUGGGGGUGCACUAAGGCUCUGCUAAAUCAUUACAGCUACUUCUGACAAAGUCAAGUCAUGUUCAUCUCAUAUGCAUCAAACUGCUCUUGGAAGCAUGAGAGCUCAGAUCAUUCCUACCUAAUUGAAGUAAAAUGAGCCUCUACAGUCGAAAUCUAGCCUUUUCUUUUUCUUUUUUUGGUGGGUUAUAGGGGAACACCUAUAAUGGAGGCAAGCAGUGGGUAAAGGGAUGAUGUGAAUUCCACAUCU
rnacentral:lncRNA from 1 species